rnacentral:rRNA from 1 species
UACGAAGGGAGCUAGCGUUACUCGGAAUCAUUGGGCGUAAAGCGUGCGUAGGCGGCUUUAUAAGUCGGAAGUGAAAGCCUGGAGCUCAACUCCAGAAUUGCUUUCGAUACUGUAGAGCUAGAAUACCAGAGGGGAUGGCGGAAUUCCUAGUGUAGAGGUGAAAUUCGUAGAUAUUGGGAAGAACACCGGUGGCGAAGGCGGCUAUCUGGACCGACAUUGACGCUGAGGCGCGAAAGCGUGGGGAGCAAACAGG